CCCAUUUUACAGAUGACGAAACUGAGGCUGGAAGAGUGAAGGGCUGGGACCUCUCCAUUAAUCUCACUGAAGUCUAGAACACGCAUCAAACAGUGGACAAAUACUCUAAGGUAUCCUAAGGUUGCUCCCUGGGCUCUAGCCAACGAAGCGGCCUUGAUAGGUGUCUCUAUUCGGGGUCAAGACGGCACAAGGAACUCUAUGGGGGGCCCUCGACAGGAAACUGGGCACAGUUCCUCGUUUUCUCCCGGACCCGCAUGCUCUGAGGCUCAGCAGAAGGGCCGUGGGAAGAUGCUGCUAGAAGGAGCCUGAAUGUCCAGGAGAGGGAAGAACCUGGGAAAAGCCACUCUUGGAUUGGACAUAGAGGGAAACCGUCCUUGAGGCCAAAAAGAUAAUCGAAAUCUCUACUGGAAACGUGUUUUCAAAGGGCGAAAGGAGGUGACUUGCCAUUAUGGAGCCCUCCCUGCGAGCCAGUCCCUUCCCCUAAUUUAAAUGUAGUGGUCUAAUUGGAAGACACACUAGCCGGGUUUCUUUCCACGAAUCCGUUCAUCAUUAAAAACGAAUAAAAGAAGUAUUCCCUCAAUCUUA
rnacentral:lncRNA from 1 species